GUGCAGGGCCGUCAUGACGAUGACCCCGGGGGGCAGGGAGAGGCCGCCCAGCGCCGGGAUGGCCGAGAAGAUGCUCUACCUGAAUAGUUUAGAUAUUUCCAGCAUCUUUUCUGCCGUAGGGCUAUCGAUCAGAAACGUUCACUUCGGAGGCACUCGUGGGGGCUACGGCUAGUUUCCAGACUCCGGCGUGCGAGGUGCUGCAGAUUUCAGGCGUAUUUUGGCGAAACGCAGCCGGCUGAGUCGUGGAUGUUACACAAGUGUCUCGGGGAUCACUGGAAGUGCUUUCCAAACGCUUGCCGCUUGCCGGUGUGUGCCAGAGCCCCGGAGGUGGGUGGCAUCUGCCCGUGCAGGCCACACGCACCCCGCACCUGAGCUGCCAACCUUCAAAACAGUUCUCUCAACAAGCCACUGACGUGCCGACACUGCACGCAAAUGCACAGCAGUUCCUUAAAGAAUUUCAACAGCUGAGUGUAAAAAACCAAAAACCACCACCAAACACACCUGCCUUCCCUGGAGUUCUUGCAAGCACAAAAAGUGCCUAUAUUCACUGAAUAAAUAAUGCAUCUUCAUCCAGCUCUUCUUGGUACCUCCAGAGCGAGGGCUGGCACUUACAGAGAUGCUCCUGCGGCCUGGUGUGGCCAGCGCAGGCACCAGGCGGUGAGAAAAUGGAUGACUCUGCCCAGGGAAAUCAUUUUAGCAACUUGUAAAAUUACAGAAUCCCAGAAUCCCAGGUUGGAAGGGACCUCAGGGGUCAUCUAGUCCAACCUUUCUAGGAAGAGCGCAGUCUAGACAAGACGGCCCAGCAAAAGAAGGGGAAGUUGUACCUUUUCAUUGGCUUUAUCUGUAAGUAAAUGAAGGCUUUAUUCGCAGGCUGAAGUUUAAUUACCUUCCGCUCCAGUCUGAACGCAAGCUCGGGGCACUCAACGCUCGGGAAUUACCUGCGGGAAAGGGCCACAGGAACCGUGUCCUGGGAGCAGUAAGAGGAGGUGGAUUUGGCGGCAGGAUUUGGUGAGGACCAGCAGCCUCGCGGUUAAUACUCCAACAAGUGAGACCAUCUGGUACCGAGGAGGGACAGUUAUGGUUGAUAGGGUAGCUCGCAGAUCUCCGAGGAGACACACCACUGCUAUUUGCGUUACGGAUUGGUACGCUUUAUUUGGAAAGGGUACAGUUUAUCAAACUAAUAAUCUGCCUUUAAACACACAAUAUGCAUUUUAAAAUACCCCCAAACAGGUAUUUACA